AGAGUUUGAUCCUGGCUCAGGACGAACGCUGGCGGCACGCUUAACACAUGCAAGUCGAACGCUCUCGACCUUCGGGUCAUAUGGGAGAGUGGCGAACGGGUGAGUAACACGUGAGAAACCUGCCCUAAAGAUUGGGACAACCACUGGAAACGGUGGCUAAUACCAAAUAUCUUCCCUUGGCCGCAUGGCCAGUUGAAGAAAUGCUCCGGCGCUUUAGGAGGGUCUCGCGGCCUAUCAGCUAGUUGGUGAGGUAAUGGCUCACCAAGGCAUCGACGGGUAGCUGGUCUGAGAGGACGAUCAGCCACACUGGGACUGAGACACGGCCCAGACUCCUACGGGAGGCAGCAGUGGGGAAUCUUGCGCAAUGGGCGAAAGCCUGACGCAGCGAUGCCGCGUGGGGGAUGAAGGCUCUCGGGUCGUAAACCCCUUUCAGCAGGGACGAAAAUGACGGUACCUGCAGAAGAAGCCCCGGCCAACUACGUGCCAGCAGCCGCGGUAACACGUAGGGGGCAAGCGUUGUCCGGAUUUAUUGGGCGUAAAGGGCUCGUAGGCUGUUCAGUAAGUCAGGUGUGAAAACCCAAGGCUCAACCUUGGGACGCCACUUGAUACUGCUGUGACUAGAGUCCGGUAGAGGAGAUUGGAAUUCCUGGUGUAGCGGUGAAAUGCGCAGAUAUCAGGAGGAACACCAACGGCGAAGGCAGAUCUCUGGGCCGGUACUGACGCUGAGGAGCGAAAGCAUGGGGAGCAAACAGGAUUAGAUACCCUGGUAGUCCAUGCCGUAAACGUUGGGC
rnacentral:rRNA from 1 species